rnacentral:rRNA from 1 species
UACGGGGGGGGCAAGCGUUGUUCGGAAUUACUGGGCGUAAAGGGCUCGUAGGUGGCCAACUAAGUCAUACGUGAAAUCCCUCGGCUUAACCGGGGAACUGCGUCUGAUACUGGAUGGCUUGAGGUUGGGAGAGGGAUGCGGAAUUCCAGGUGUAGCGGUGAAAUGCGUAGAUAUCGGGAGGAACACCAGUGGCGAAGGCGGUUACCUGGGGCUUUGCUGACGCUGAUGCGCGAAAGCGUGGGGAGCGAUCCGG